GGGCCGUUAGCUCAGGGGUAGAGCAUCUGACUUUUAAUCAGAGGGCCGUUGGUUCAAAUCCAACACGGCUCA
rnacentral:tRNA from 2 species